rnacentral:rRNA from 1 species
GGACGAACGCUGGCGGCGUGCUUAACACAUGCAAGUCGAGCGGUGAGGCCCUUUCGGGGGUACACGAGCGGCGAACGGGUGAGUAACACGUGGGUGACCUGCCUCUAGCUCUGGGAUAAGCCUGGGAAGCUGGGUCUAAUACCGGAUAUGACCUCGCGGUGCAUGUUGCGGGGUGGAAAGCCUUGUGCGGCUAGGGGAUGGGCCCGCGGCCUAUCAGCUUGUUGGUGGGGUGANGGCCUACCAAGGCGACGACGGGUAGCCGGCCUGAGA